GACGAACCGUGCGAACGUUGUUCGGAAUCACUGGGUUUAAAGGGCGCGUAGGCGGGCUGUCAAGUCGGUGGUGAAAUCGUUCCGCUCAACGGGACAAUGGCCUUCGAUACUGGCGGUCUGGAGGGAGGUAGGGGCAUGCGGAACUUCCGGUGGAGCGGUGAAAUGCGUAGAUAUCUGGAAGAACACCAAAGGCGAAGGCAGUGUCCUGGGUGGUCGCUGACGCUGAGAGGCGAAAGCCAGGGGAGCGAACGGG
rnacentral:rRNA from 1 species